UGAGAUUUCUUUUGAGCAGUUGUCUUCGAACUCUUAUCAGGACGAGGACAAUCACCGUCACCACCGGAUGUCAGCUGUAUGCAAGUUUACAUCAAAACAUAUAAAAAUCAAGUCAUUAGUUCAUAUUUCAUGUGACUACACUUAAUAUUUUCAAGUUACUAGUACACAUUUCAAGAUACUACACUCGAACCAUUUUCAAAUAUCUAAUUGACAUUUCAUUUCACUAUACUUAACCAUUUUCAAAUAACUAGUAGACAUUUCAAGUAACUACACUUAACCAUUUUCAAGUCACUACUACACGUUUAAGUCACUAUACUUAACUAUUUUCAAAUAACUAAUUCACAUUGCAAAUCACCACACUUAAAAUAUUUUCAAGUCACUAGUACACAUUUCAAAUCACUACACUUAACUAUUUUCAAUUAACUAAAUCAUAUUCAAGUCAAUAUACUUAAUUCAUUUUGAAGUGACUAUACUUUAUUAUUUUAAAGUUAUUAGUACACAUUUCAAAUAAUUGCACUUAACCAUUUUCAAGCAUCAAGUUCACAAUUUCAAAUAACUACACUUAACCGUUUUCAAGUCACAAGUUCACAAUUUCAAGUAACUACACUUAAUCAUUUUCAAGUCACUACAAUUAAUAAUUUUCAAAUAACUUAUUCACUAGUACACAUUUCAAGUCAUUACACUCAAAUCAUUUUCAAAUAGCUAAUUAACAUUUCAAGUCACUAUACUUUAAGCAUUUUCAUGUAACUACACUUAACUAUUUUCAAGUCACUAGUACACAUUUCAAGUCACUAUACUUAACCAUUUUCAAAUAACUAGUAGACAUUUCAAGUCACUAUACUUAACCAUUUUCAAAUAAUUAAUUCACAUUUCAAGUCACUACACUUAACGAUUUUCAAAUAAUAAUUCACAUUUCAAAUCACUAUACUUAACCAUUUUCAAGUAACUACUUUACAUUUAAAAUAAUUAUGCUUAACCGUUUUCAAGUCACUACACUUAAUCAUUCAUUUCAAGUAACUAAUUCACAUUUCAAGUAACUACACUUAACCAUUUUCAAGUCACUAGAAACCGUUUUCAAGUCACAAGUUUGCAAUUUCAAGUAACUACACUAAAUCAUUUUCAAGUCACUACACUUAAUAAUUUUCAAAUAACUUAUUCACAUUUCAAGUCACUACACUCGAACCAUUUCAAAUAGCUAAUUGACAUUUCAAGUCAUUAUACUUAACCAUUUUCAAGUAACUACAAUUAACCAUUUUCAAGUCAUGUACCAGCAUUUCAAGUCACUACACUUGACUAUUUUCAAUUAACUAGUUCACAUUUUCAAGUCAUUAUACUUAACUAUUUUCAAAUAACAACUCUUAAGCAUUUUUAAGUCACUAGUACACAUUUCAAGUCACUACACUUAAUCAUUUUCAAAUAACUAAUUCGCAUUGUAAGUCACUGUAUGUAUCCACUUUUAAGUAACUAAACUUAACCAUUUUCAAGUCACCAGUACACAUUUCAAAUCACUAUACUUAAUCAUUUUCUAGUCACAAGUUCUCAAUUUCAAGUAACUAUACUUAAUCAUUUUCAAGUCACUACACUUAAUAAUUUUCAAAUAACUUAUUCACAUUUCAAGUCACUACACUCAAAUCAUUUUCAAAUAGCUAAUUAACAUUUCAAGUCACUAUACUUAAGCAUUUUCAACUAGCUACAUUUAACCAUUAGUACACAUUUCAAGUCACUACACUUAACCAUUUUUAAAUAACUAGUAGACAUUUCAAGUCACUACACUAAACCAUUUUUAAAUAAUUAAUUCACAUUUCAAGUCACUAUACUUAACCAUUUUCAAGUAACUACGUUACAUUUAAAAUAACUAUACUUAACCGUUUUUAAGUCACUACACUUAAUCAUUCAUUUCAAGACACUAUACUUAACCACUUUCAAGUAACUAAUUCACAUUUUAAGUAACUACACUUAACCAUUUUCAAGUCACUAGGAACCGUUUUCAAGUCACAAGUUUGCAAUUUCAAGUAACUACACUAAAUCAUUUUCAAGUCACUACACUUAAUAACUUUCAAAUAACUUAUUCACAUUUCAAGUCACUACACUCGAACCAUUUCAAAUAGCUAAUUGACAUUUCAAGUCACUAUAUUUAACCAUUUUCAAGUAACUACACUUAACCAUUUUCAAGUCAUGUAUUAGCAUAUCAAGUCACUACACUUAACUAUUUUCAAUUAACUAGUUCACAUUUUCAAGUCAUUAUACUUAGCUAUUUUCAAAUAACUACAGUUAAUCAUUUUCAAGUCACUAGUACACAUUUCAAGUCAGUAUACUUUAACUAUUUUCAAAUAACUAUACUUAACCAUUUUCAAGUCACUAGUACACAUUUCAAGUCACUACAUUUAACCAAUUUUAAAUAACUAAUUAACAUUGCAAGUCACUAUACGUAUCCACUUUUAAGUAACUAAGCUUUUCGUAUCCGGGAGUGUAUGUAUUGUAAGUUGUAAGUUAUGUCCUCAAAGAAUAAGGAGAGAUUGUUUAUAUAGUGAAAAAAAAAAUCAGUAAGUAAAGAAAAGAGAAUAAAUUAUAAAUAAUCAUGGAAAUUCUUUUCCUUAAUGAGACAAGCAAAAUCCAAUCAGUGGGAAAAUAUAUGCUAAGACUAUCCUAAUUAAAUAAGUCAAAUCCAUAAUAUUAAAACUUGCGGUAUAUAAGUGAGUACAAAGUUGUCACAUAUUCAGCAAAAGGAAGUAAACUAAUCAUCAACAUGUUAGAAUCAAUCACUAAUCAAUUAGGAGAUCAAUAAUCAAUUAGGAAUGAGGAAAUUUGUUCAAUUUACCAUAAAUAGAUAUAUAGAAAAAAUAAUAAAUUAUUCAAAAGGCAAUUAAUUUUAUAAAAUAAUCCCUAAUUACGAUAAUUUACUUUUGUACCUAAUCCAAUUCAAAUCAUCAAUUGUACAAAAAAAAAAAAAUCAAUCCACAGUGUAAUUUAAGAACGUGAUACACAAACAAAUGUUCUUUACCAAAUUCUAUUCAAAUUAUCACAAAUCAGUCCAACAAUAAAAAUAACCAUAAGAGAAAUUUAUCAGCUAAUUGACCAAUAUCAAUAAUACAAUCCACAAACAAGAUGGAUAAUUUCAAAAGUAAGAAUUAGCAAUCUAUGACAAAAUUAAGCAUUACUAAAAUUGGGGGUUUUCACAUAUCAAAGAAUGCAAAUCAUGAAAUUAAAAGCAUUGAAUCAAAAAAUCAGAAUCCAACGUCUCUAAUUUCAAAUUUUAAUAAUCCGUCAAAGGAAAAAUAAUAGAAGAUGAUAAUAUUAAAUUGAUGCAAAAUUAAACGAAAUAUAAAAUCUGGGGAUAGGUUCAUGAGAACCCAUUGUUUUCCGAUUAGUGAAACUGUGACGGCGGCUGACUAACGUGGGGGAGGACCUGCUCACCGGUGGAGCAGUGGGUUUUUUGCUCGGAGUUGUGGCAGGAACGACGGAGAGGGGUGGCGACGUCGGCUGAUUAUUUCGGGGCUGGUUUACCGGCAUGGAUGACGCUCUCCGGCAUGGGGAAGAGAUCGAGGCAGAGGCUAUGUCUGCUUCACCGGCUGCUUCUGGCAUUGGGUGGCAACGCUCCGACAGUUCGGAUGGUGCUGGUUCGAUUGAUGGCUGCACAGGGGCGGUUGGCUGCAACGAUGGUUUUGUUGGUGAGGGUCACCGAUCGGAAGGGGGAGAUGGCUAUGAAGGUGAUGAGAAUGAGGGAGAGGAGUUUCGCCAGCGACGGAGAGAACGACGGCCAUGACUGUUAGUAAGAGAGAAGAUGAGAGAGGAUGCAAAAAGAUGGGGGUGCGGCUGUUCUUUGUUGAAAUGGAAUUAUCAAGGUUUAUGUUUUGUUUAAAAGAAAAGGAAGGGUGGUGGG
rnacentral:lncRNA from 1 species